CCCCUCGUAGCAUAAUUGGAUAAUGCGCCUUUCUGACUAAGAGGACGAUGUGGGUUCGAAUCCCGCCGAGGGGG
rnacentral:tRNA from 1 species